ensembl:lncRNA
CGAAACACGAGGUGAUGGCGGCGGAUGAAUGGCACGACAACGGGCCUCAGAAUCUCGUCACUGUAUCUUUAUGCAUUCAAAUUGACAUCAAUAAAAUCCAAUUGUGUUCGUUGUCUGCAGCGUAUACCUGCCCUUACCAUAACCUCACCGCCACCAUGGGGCACUCUGUUCACAACGUUGACAUCAGCAAACCGCUGUCGUACAGGACGCCAUACACGCUGUCUGCCAUCUGCCCGGUACAUUUGAAACCUGGGAUUCAUCAGUGAAGAGCACACUUCUCCAGCGUGCCAGUGGCCAUGGAAGGUGAGCAUUUUGAUCACUGCAGAUGGGUACGACGUGAACUGCAGUCAGGUCAAGACCCUGGUGACUACGACAAGCACGCUGAUGAGCUUCCCCGAGACAACAGUUUCUGACCGUUUGUGCUGAAAUGAUUCGGUUGUUCCAACCCACAGUUUCAUCAUGUAACGUGUACGCUAAGUAUCGGGACGCAAGUACGGGGAGCGAAUGUAAUAAAUAACGUAACAUGGAACAAAACAAAAUACAGGAGUAGCAUACAGACAGAAACACAGGAACAGAAUCAAUAACACCUCGGGGAAAGAACCAACGGGAGUGACAGAUAUAGAGGAGUCCAGGGGAGUCUCAUCACGCGCAGGUGUGAACCAACGGGAGUGACAGAUAUAGGGGAGUCCAGGGGAGUCUCAUCACGCGCAGGUGUGAACCAACGGGAGUGACAGAUAUAGGGGAGUCCAGGGGAGUCUCAUCACGCGCAGGUGUGAACCAACGGGAGUGACAGAUAUAGGGGAGUCCAGGGGAGUCUCAUGAUGCGCAGGUGUGAACUAAUGGGAGUGACAGAUAUAGGGGAGUCCAGGGGAGUCUCAUGAUGCGCAGGUGUGAACCAACGGGAGUGACAGAUAUAGGGGAGUCCAGGGGAGUCUGGACGGCGGCAGGUGUGUGUAACGAUGGCGGCAGGUGUGUGUAACGAUGGUGACAGGUGUGUGUAACGAUGGUGACAGGUGUGUGUAACGAUGGUGACAGGUGUGCGUAACGAUGGUGACAGGUGUGCGUAACGAUGGUGACAGGUGUGCGUAACGAUGGUGACAGGUGUGUGUAACGAUGGUGACAGGUGUGUGUAACGAUGGUGACAGGUGUGUGUAACGAUGGUGACAGGUGUGUGUAACGAUGGUGACAGGUGUGCGUAACGGUGGUGACAGGUGUGCGUAGUAAUGAGUAAACUGGCCAAAGUGAGCGCCGGGGAUUAGACCUGAUACAUCAGCUGUCCACGUGGCUGGUCUCAGACGAUCAGGUGAAGAAUCCAGAUGUGGCGAUCUGUCAUGUUCUGACCUUAGUUCCUCUUUGUUUUAGUAUGGUCAAGGGUGUGAGUUGGGUGCGUUUGUCUAUGUUCCGUUUUCUAUAUUGUGUUUUCGCGUUUGGCCUGGUAUGGUUCUCAAUCAGAGGCAGGUGUCGUUAGUUGUCUCUGAUUGACAAUCAUACUUAGGUAGCCUUUUCCCACUUGUGUUUCGUGGGUGUUUAUUUUCUAUCUUUGUGUUUGUCACCAGACAGGACUGUUUAGUUUCGUAUCUUUCUCGUUGUUAUUUUUGUUUUAGUGUUCUGAGUUGAAUAAAUAUCGUCAUGACCACGUACCACGCUACGCUUUGGUCCGAUCCUUGCGACUCUCCUCGUCAGAAGAAGAGGACGAGCGUUACAGGGUCCUUGGCUGGCGGUUGUGAGGUCAGUUGGACGUACUGUCAAAUUCUCUAAAAAUGACAUUGGAGGUGGCUUAUGGUAGAGAAAUUAACUUUCCCUUAAAAUAUUUGCCAUCUGUGGCGUUGUGUUGUGUGACCUGCACAUUUUAGAGUGGCCUUUUAUUGUCCCCAGCACAAGGUGCACCUAUGUAAUGAUCAUGGCGUUUAAUAUGAUACAGCUGUCAGGUGAAUGGAUUGUCUUGGCAAAGGAUAAAUGCUCAUUACAGGGAUGUAAACAAAUUUGUAACAAAAAUGUUAACGAAAAAAAGCUUUUUGUCCAUUUGGAACAUUUCUGGGAUCGUUUAUUUCAGCUCAUGAAAGGAUCAACGCUUUACACGGGCCGCAGACAUCGACCUUAGUGGGUUUAACAUGUCUCCUACCCUUUAUCUACAAUGACUGAAGUGGAUUUAACAAGUGACAUCAAUAAGGGAUCAUAGCUUUCACCUGGAUUCACCUGGUCAGUCUACAGUCUGUUAUGGAAAGAGCAGGUGUUCUUACAUUUUUUUGUACACGGUGUGUGUCCUUGAAUUUAUUAUUUAAAAAUCACACACAGAAGAAGUUAUAAGGGUAAUUUAGUUGCUAAUGUCAGCCUGCG